rnacentral:rRNA from 1 species
UACGUAGGCAGCAAGCGUUUGUUCGGAGUUACUGGGCGUAAAGGGUGUGUAGGCGGUUCUUUUAAGUUUGCUGUGAAAUCUCCCGGCUUAACCGGGAGGGUGCGGUGAAUACUGAGGGACUAGAGUACGGGAGGAGGAAAGUGGAAUUCCUGGUGUAGCGGUGAAAUGACGUAGAUAUCAGGAGGAACACCGGUGGUGUAGACGGCUUUCUGGACCGUAACUGACGCUGAGACACGAAAGCGUGGGUAGCAAACAGG